UUGAACCUCACCAAAAACGCCGCUCGC
rnacentral:sRNA from 1 species